rnacentral:rRNA from 1 species
AGGCGGUUGCUUAAGUCUGUCGUGAAAGCCCCGGGCUCAACCUGGGAACUGCGUUUGAAACUGCAAGGCUAGAGUAUGGGAGAGGGAGGUAGAAUUCCACGUGUAGCAGUGAAAUGCGUAGAGAUGUGGAGGAAUACCAAUGGCGAAGGCAGCCUCCUGGCCUAAUACUGACGCUCAUGCACGAAAGCGUGGGGAGCAAACAG